rnacentral:lncRNA from 1 species
CGCCCUUGCGCACGUCCCUCCUGGCAAAACUCUAGUCGUCGUGCGGGGAUUGGUUGCCAUCGACGUUGUUGCCUUGGAGCUACCAGCGCGUGAUUUGACCUAUGACGUUUCAUGCCUGAGUGCUAUUUAUUGGACUCACUCCACUUGAUCCCAAGUGAUGCGAUCAUACAGGACAAACAAUUUCCUUUGAAGGUCUGUCUAGCCUCCUCCCUUGUCUGUUCGUAGUUGCUGCUUUCUGGCAAGCCGUACAAAUUGGUCUACCACAACCCACAGCCGCCCCCCCCUGCAUUUUGAAACAAAUGGAAUUAAGAUUCGAAGUUAGUAGAAAAUUGAUAACAUUUUGAGAAUCGUCACAUCACACAACCAAGUAAAAUCAUAUAGACAGAUGACACGAAAAUGGCGCAUCCAUGUAUUCAACAAUCACAUAGCAUGUUCUGUUUCACCCAGGAAAUAAAAAAAAUAAAAGAUCACAUAACAUAUUUUACUUAAAUUUAUUUCAUCACCUUAGUGAACUAGAGAAUAGAAGAAUAAUGUAUUUUUUGUUAUGAACAUGAAUAGUACAUCUAGUUCAGCAAAGAAAAGAAAAGAUAGGGAGAAAAUAUAUGAUUGUUUGAAACCAACUAUUUCAGUGAUAAUAUGCAAAUAUGGUAAUUGUUUGCUUAAUGAAAUGUUCACUAUAUAUGUGCAGAAGUAGAACAGAGUUAUAUAGGUGUUACCCUGGUGAUUUGGCUCUGCUUCUCCUGUUUCGAAAGAGGAUUUUCUUCUUUCUGCUAUCUGGCAGUCCUUAUCUGAUAAUGGCUAUCGUUUGCGAUUGAUGAUAUUAUCUCUUAGUUUAAUUCUGCCUAUAGCGAAUAAUUUGAUUUCAUUCACCGUCCAUUAUUUAGCUACUUCAGUGGCCUGUAUACUAGCCUUGCUAUCUCUAGGAGAAACAUAAAUGUCUAACGAUGUUGCCAUUCCUGGGACUGAAAAAUGGUCAUGUUUUUCACGCCCAACAGGUGUUACCUUUUGAUAAAGCAUGCACAUUAUUUACAAUCUCUUUGUCCAUUUCAGGGGAGAGCAUUUCAAAGGAAGCACGGACUGGAGGUGUAAGGUUAGAUGGCAAGCUAUUUUGCUCAUGCAGUUUGAUGAUAAAAUUCAUGAAGUCCACUUGUUUAUUUGUCUCAUGAUUAAUGGUUAUUUUUUUAACUUCCAAAAAUCGGCUAGCAAGUGAUAUACUAUGAUUAAACAUGUCAUAAUCCAUUGAUUUAUGGUCACGGUUACAUUUGAUAAUUUAUAAUCACAUAAAUGAACUUAAAUUGUUUCGGGCCUGGCAUGCUAGCAUUGCUUUACAUUAUAGUACAAUGAAUAUAUGAUGGAAACAACAUCGCAAGAUCACUCAGCACUAUAGGCCAGCACAGAAAACACACAUACACUUCUAGUUUACAUGACGAGUACUUCAUUUGUUUGCAUCAUCCAUGCAUGUUUAGCUUUCAAAAUAAAUUAUUAUGUUGUAACAAAACCUUAAUCUAAGCUGAUCAAAAGUAUGUGUAGAAUAGGGCUGCUUCGUGCAUUCCUAGGUGGUUUUCACCAAGUCAAUAAGCAGGUACAUAUAUGCUAGGUAUCCAAACGGUUGUAUAAUUGUAGUUGGUCUAAUUCUCUAUGAAAUUGUCCUUCUUUGCGUAAAGUGAAAUCUUCCCAGUUUUAUUAAUAGCAAAUGUUCUAUUUCUUGCAAAAGUGGGAUAAAACUGAAGUCUUGUUCUUUUCGAUCAAUUCGAGAAACAAAAACAAACCCUUGGCCAAUGGAAUUUUAGGGAGUAAAGAUAGAACAUAUGUGGUUGAAGGAAACAUGCUUGGAGAACAAUAUGUUGCAGUCUCUGUCCGUGGCUCAAUCUAGGAGAUGAGAACUGGUUAGACCAUAUGAAAAACUCCAAACAGCAGGAGAUGUUGGUUAUGUUAUUGCUUGGCCUUCCUCACAUGUAAGUAUGUUUCCAUACAACCAUCAAGUAUGCUCCAAUAUCCACAUUUAAGAUACUUUAGUUAUCAAAAUCUUUGUGGCUGUUUUUAGGUAAGAAAAAAACUAAGCCAACCACUCCAACGAAGCAUUUGUAUGAUACACUUAUAAUUUAUCAAAGAACAUCUUAUCUUGCACUUCUAAAAACAUUGUUCAUUUGCUUUUCUAGGGCGGUUCAGGAUUUGGAAAGAGAGUGCAUUAAGGGAGCCAGGAGUAAUUGGGUAGUUCAGGAUUUGAAAAGGGAGCCAGGAUUAGUUUGUGAAUGAACAAGUGGUGUUCCUUAUGUUAUAUUUUAGCUUAAUUGAGAAACAUAGUUCUAGACUAUAGGAUAUUUCUUAUUUAUUUGUAUGUUCUGUAUGAAUGUAUGUUAUUAUUCAGUUGUGAACUUUGGUGUAAGUAUCUACUCAGCUUGCCAAUUUUGAUAAUGCGAUGUUUGCAAAUGCAAUCUACGAC